GACGAACGCUGGCGGCGUGCUUAACACAUGCAAGUCGAACGGAAAGGCCCUGCUUGCAGGGUACUCGAGUGGCGAACGGGUGAGUAACACGUGGGUGAUCUGCCCUGCACUUCGGGAUAAGCCUGGGAAACUGGGUCUAAUACCGGAUAGGAGCCAUUUUUAGUGUGAUGGUUGGAAAGUUUUUUCGGUGUAGGAUGAGCUCGCGGCCUAUCAGCUUGUUGGUGGGGUAAUGGCCUACCAAGGCGGCGACGGGUAGCCGGCCUGAGAGGGUGGACGGCCACAUUGGGACUGAGAUACGGCCCAGACUCCUACGGGAGGCAGCAGUGGGGAAUAUUGCACAAUGGGCGCAAGCCUGAUGCAGCGACGCCGCGUGGGGGAUGACGGCCUUCGGGUUGUAAACGCCUUUCGCUAGGGACGAAGCUUUUUGUGACGGUACCUAGAUAAGAAGCACCGGCUAACUACGUG
rnacentral:rRNA from 1 species